rnacentral:rRNA from 1 species
UACGUAGGGGGCAAGCGUUGUCCGGAUUUAUUGGGCGUAAAGAGCGUGUAGGCGGCCAGGUAGGUCCGUUGUGAAAACUGGAGGCUUAACCUCCAGCUGUCGAUGGAAACCAUCUGGCUAGAGUCCGGAAGAGGAGAGUGGAAUUCCUGGUGUAGCGGUGAAAUGCGCAGAUAUCAGGAGGAACACCAAUGGCGAAGGCAGCUCGCUGGGACGGUACUGACGCUGAGACGCGAAAGCGUGGGGAGCAAACAGG